CGAAGGUAGCAUAAUCAGUAGUCUUUUAAUUGAAGGCUGGAAUGAAUGGUUGGAUGAAAUAUUAGCUGUUUCAUUUAAAAUUAUUAUAGAAUUUUAUUUUUUAGUAAAAAAGCUAAAAUUUUAUUAAAAGACGAGAAGACCCUAUAAAUCUUUAUAAAUUAGUUAUAUUAAUUAUAUAGAUUUAUUUAUUUUUUAUAAUUUAGUUUAUUUUAUUGGGGUGAUAUUAAAAUUUAAAAAACUUUUAAUUUAUAUAAAACAUAGAUUUAUGAGUUGAUGAUCCAUUAUUAAUGAUUAAAAAUUUAAGUUACUUUAGGGAUAACAGCGUAAUUUUUUUGGAGAGUUCAUAUCGAUAAAAAAGAUUGCGACCUCGAUGUUGGAUUAA
rnacentral:rRNA from 1 species